AGGAGCAGUGACUGAGAAGAAGAAACCUGCAGCUGCCGCGACGAGCAAACAAACUGACUCAGGAGCAGCGACCAAGAAGAAGAAACCUGCAGCUGCGGCGACGAGCAAACAAACU